rnacentral:lncRNA from 1 species
UUAUUUUUUAAAGUGUAUUAUAGGUGCAGCAGGAAUUUAUGCCACAUACUUCAUUCACGUACAAACAAAAAAAAGCAACUAGAUUUAGUAGAAGAUACAAUGAUGUAUCAUACCAACAAAAUUUUUGGCACAUUCAAUAAUAAUCAAUGAAGGUUUAUAAAAAACUCACUCUGCAGGAUACUGAAAAAGGUUGAUAAAAAAUAAUGAAGGUUUAUAAAUAAAACUUACUCUGCAGGAUACUGAAAAAGGUCGAUAAAAAACAAUGAAGGUUUAUAAAAAAUAAAAAACACUUACUCUGCAGGAUACUGGAAAAGGUUGAUAAAAAACAGCUUGACGUUGUCUAGUAAUUCAGGAGCAGCAUCAGCCACAAUUCUUGAAACUUUAUAACUUAUCUGUAAAUAAAAAUUGAGGCCAGGGAAGAGAUUAGAAGUGGUGGCAUGCUUGGAAGAAACAUAAUGAACACAAAAUAGAGAACAUUACACUGAUCAAGU